rnacentral:rRNA from 1 species
AAUCCAUAGGUUAAUGAGGCGAACCGGGGGAACUGAAACAUCUAAGUACCCCGAGGAAAAGAAAUCAACCGAGAUUCCCCCAGUAGCGGCGAGCGAACGGGGAGGAGCCCAGAGCCUGAAUCAGCAUGUGUGUUAGUGGAAGCGUCUGGAAAGGCGCGCGAUACAGGGUGACAGCCCCGUACACAAAAGCGCAUGUGCUGUGAGCUCGAUGAGUAGGGCGGGACACGUGGUAUCCUGUCUGAAUAUGGGGGGACCAUCCUCCAAGGCUAAAUACUCCUGACUGACCGAUAGUGAACCAGUACCGUGAGGGAAAGGCGAAAAGAACCCCGGCGAGGGGAGUGAAAAAGAACCUGAAACCGUGUACGUACAAGCAGUGGGAGCACCCUUUGGGUGUGACUGCGUACCUUUUGUAUAAUGGGUCAGCGACUUAUAUUCUGUAGCAAGGUUAACCGAAUAGGGGAGCCGGAGGGAAACCGAGUCUUAACCGGGCGUUAAGUUGCAGGGUAUAGACCCGAAACCCGGUGAUCUAGCCAUGGGCAGGUUGAAGGUUGGGUAACACUAACUGGAGGACCGAACCGACUAAUGUUGAAAAAUUAGCGGAUGACCUGUGGCUGGGGGUGAAAGGCCAAUCAAACCGGGAGAUAGCUGGUUCUCCCCGAAAGCUAUUUAGGUAGCGCCUCGUGAAUUCAUCUCCGGGGGUAGAGCACUGUUUCGGCUAGGGGGCCAUCCCGGCUUACCAACCCGAUGCAAACUGCGAAUACCGGAGAAUGUUAUCACGGGAGACACACGGCGGGUGCUAACGUCCGUCGUGAAGAGGGAAACAACCCAGACCGCCAGCUAAGGUCCCAAAGUCAUGGUUAAGUGGGAAACGAUGUGGGAAGGCCCAGACAGCCAGGAUGUUGGCUUAGAAGCAGCCAUCAUUUAAAGAAAGCGUAAUAGCUCACUGGUCGAGUCGGCCUGCGCGGAAGAUGUAACGGGGCUAAACCAUGCACCGAAGCUGCGGCAGCGACACUGUGUGUUGUUGGGUAGGGGAGCGUUCUGUAAGCCUGUGAAGGU